GCGUGCAGGAAGAAGGCCUUCGGGUUGUAAACUGCUUUUGUACGGAGCGAAAAGGCCUUUCUUAAUACGGGGGGUUCAUGACGGUACCGUAAGAAUAAGCACCGGCUAACUACGUGCCAGCAGCCGCGGUAAUACGUAGGGUGCGAGCGUUAAUCGGAAUUACUGGGCGUAAAGCGUGCGCAGGCGGUUUUGUAAGACAGGCGUGAAAUCCCCGGGCUCAACCUGGGAAUUGCGCUUGUGACUGCAAAGCUGGAGUGCGGCAGAGGGGGAUGGAAUUCCGCGUGUAGCAGUGAAAUGCGU
rnacentral:rRNA from 1 species